rnacentral:rRNA from 1 species
UAACAAGGAUUCCCCUAGUAACUGCGAGUGAAGCGGGAAAAGCUCAAAUUUAAAAUCUGGCGGCUUUGCCGUCCGAGUUGUAAUCUGGAGAAGCGUUUUCCGCGUCGGACCGUGUACAAGUCUCUUGGAACAGAGCGUCAUAGAGGGUGAGAAUCCCGUCCAUGACACGGACCACCGAUGCUUUGUGAUACGCUCUCGAAGAGUCGAGUUGUUUGGGAAUGCAGCUCAAAAUGGGUGGUAAAUUCCAUCUAAAGCUAAAUAUUGGCGAGAGACCGAUAGCGAACAAGUACCGUGAGGGAAAGAUGAAAAGCACUUUGGAAAGAGAGUUAAACAGUACGUGAAAUUGUUGAAAGGGAAACGCUUGAAGUCAGUCGCGUCUUGCAGGACUCAGCCUUGCUUUUCUUUGCAUUGCGUACUUCCUGUAGGACGGGUCAACAUCGAUUUUGGUUGACGGACAAAGGGGAUGGGAAUGUGGCAGUCUUCGGGCUGUGUUUAUAGCCCUCUUCCGUAUACGUCGACUGGGAUCGAGGACCGCAGCGUGCGUUUUUUUUUUAUAUAAAAAUAAUGUUGCGCUUAGGAUGUUGGCAUAAUGGCUUUAAGCGACCCGUCUUGAAACACGGACCAAGGAGUCUAACAUGCUUGCGAGUGUUAGGGUGGAAAACCCUUGCGCGUAAUGAAAGUGAAAGUUGAGAGCCUCCGCAAGGGGGUGCACCGACGCCCGGCCCUGAAGUUCACUGACGGUGCUGCGGUAGAGCACGUAUGUUGGGACCCGAAAGAUGGUGAACUAUGCCUGAAUAGGGCGAAGCCAGAGGAAACUCUGGUGGAGGCUCGUAGCGAUUCUGACGUGCAAAUCGAUCGUCAAAUUUGGG